rnacentral:lncRNA from 1 species
CGACCCGCGGCCGCACAGGAUUUGGUCCAACCUCUUCAGGUAGGCAGGACUAAAGGCGGUGUCUCAGAGCUGAGCCCGCUACGGCAGCUGCCGCUACUCCGAGGAACUGAUGCUAAAUGGCCAGGCGGGCGGGCGGCUCCUUGCACCCCUAGCUCGGGGAACCAUGUCUAAGAAGCCCACUGUGCAUGCUGAAGUUGCAGGAUCUGUAUCUAGCCCUGUGCUCUUGAGAUCAUACAAGGCCCUGCCUGGUGAUCUAUCUCCAGAUGAUGCUGAUAUGAGCUCUGCCACCAGGUUUGUCAUAUUUCCCUACAUCUUUUUCUUUUUAAAAAUUUAAUUAAAAACAUUUUUUUCG